GUCCACGCCGUAAACGAUGAUAACUAGGUGUUGGGAGAUUUUACCCUUUCAGCGCCGCAGCUAACGCAUUAAGUUAUCCGCCUGGGGAGUACGGUCGCAAGACUAAAACUCAAAGGAAUUGACGGGGGCCCGCACAAGCGGUGGAGUAUGUGGUUCAAUUCGACGCAACGCGAAUAACCUUACCUGGGUUAGAAAUCAACCAGAAGCUCUGUAGAGAUAUGGAGCGUCCCCGCAAGGGGACUGGUUGACAGGUGCUGCAUGGCUGUCGU
rnacentral:rRNA from 1 species